rnacentral:sRNA from 1 species
UACUAGCCCCGAUUGCAACGGCCUCCUUUUUUGUUGCGGCCGGAGCGAAGCGGAGGCCGUAAUAAAAAAGAUACAGUGGAAAGCGGGAUUAAGC